rnacentral:rRNA from 1 species
CCAAGGCGACGAUCAGUAGCCGACCUGAGAGGGUGAUCGGCCACAUUGGAACUGAGACACGGUCCAAACUCCUACGGGAGGCAGCAGUGGGGAAUAUUGCACAAUGGGCGAAAGCCUGAUGCAGCAACGCCGCGUGAGUGAUGAAGGCCUUCGGGUCGUAAAACCCUGUCCUCAAGGAAGAUAAUGACGGUACUUGAGGAGGAAGCCCCGGCUAACUACGUGCCAGCAGCCGCGGUAAUACGUAGGGGGCUAGCGUUAUCCGGAUUUACUGGGCGUAAAGGGUGCGUAGGCGGUCUUUCAAGUCAGGAGUGAAAGGCUACGGCUCAACCG